rnacentral:rRNA from 1 species
CAGCAGCCACGGGAAUACGUAGGGUGCAAGCGUUAAUCGGAAUUACUGGGCGUAAAGCGUGCGCAGGCGGUUAUAUAAGACAGAUGUGAAAUCCCCGGGCUCAACCUGGGAACUGCAUUUGUGACUGUAUAGCUAGAGUACGGCAGAGGGGGAUGGAAUUCCGCGUGUAGCAGUGAAAUGCGUAGAUAUGCGGAGGAACACCGAUGGCGAAGGCAAUCCCCUGGGCCUGUACUGACGCUAAUGCACGAAAGCGUGGGGAGCAAACAGGAUUAGAUACCCCCGUAGUCCCUGUCUCUUAUAC